CCCAAACCCACGUUUCUACAUGUGGCUCAAUAUCACUUUUAAUGUAACCCUAAUGUUAUUAACUGCUAUUGCUUAGUGAGAUGAAACAGCCGCCGCUCACUUGCAAGCCUCUCUCUCUACCGUUGCAUCCUUUAUUUUUUUCUUCUAUUUUUUGUUUACGGUUUUCAUCUUCUUCGUCUGAAUUUGGAUCUGUGCUUUUUCUUCUUGAAUCGAAUCAUACAGUCCAAUUAUUUCUUCUUCUUCUAGCAAUCUUGGUUGAAUAUUUCUCAAUCUGUGCUGUGUAUGCGAAGAGACCUAGGAACCGUUUUA
rnacentral:lncRNA from 1 species